AUGACUCCCUACUGUAAGUCUCUCUGGAUAAGAGAGUCUGCUAAAUGACUCCCU
rfam:Salmo salar isolate Sally breed double haploid chromosome ssa08, whole genome shotgun sequence.